AGAAGUUAGGAACAAGAUUGCUCAUGUACCAAGCAUUGAUUUCGAUGAGUAUUUCUAUGAGGACAUUGGAAUUUCAUAAGAGAGAGAUGACGACAUCAACGUAUAUUUACAAGGAGAAGAUGAUGAGGAGUUCAACACAAGUCACAAUCAAUCGAGUCUAAAUGUUGCUCAAUUCAAAGUCACAUGUUCCUUCCGUAAUUUGUAAGCAUUUCUUCAUUGCAAUUUGUAUUACAAUAUGUAAAUAAAUAAAUAUUUAUUUUAUUUAAUUUGCUUGUAAGUGAUGUAAAUGAAUAAAUAUUUAUUUUAUUGUAAUUUGUACUAAAUGAUGUCAAUAAAUAAACAUAUAUGUCA